rnacentral:rRNA from 1 species
UACGGGGGGGGCAAGCGUUGUUCGGAAUUACUGGGCGUAAAGGGCUCGUAGGCGGCCAACUAAGUCGGACGUGAAAUCCCUCGGCUUAACCGGGGAACUGCGUCCGAUACUGGAUGGCUUGAGUUUGGGAGAGGGAUGCGGAAUUCCAGGUGUAGCGGUGAAAUGCGUAGAUAUCUGGAGGAACACCGGUGGCGAAGGCGGCAUCCUGGACCGACACUGACACUGAGGAGCGAAGGCCAGGGGAGCAAACGGG